rnacentral:rRNA from 1 species
GAUGAACGCUGGCGGCGUGGUUAAGGCAUGCAAGUCGAAUGGGUUUAGACCCAUGGCAAACGGGGUAGUAACAGGUAGGAACGUGCCCAAGAGUCGAGCAUAACCUGGGGAAACCCAGAAUAAUUCUCGAUGGUCCCUUCGGGGUAAAGAUUUAUCGCUCUUGGAUCGGCCUGCUUCGCAUCAGCUUGUUGGUAGGGUAAUUGCCUACCAAGGCUAUGACGCGUAGGGGGGGUGAGAGCCCGGUCCCCACCAUUGGCACUGAGACACUGGCCAAACACCUACGGGUGGCUGCAGUCAAGAACCUUCCGCAAUGCGCGAAAGCGUGACGGAGCGACGCCGCGUGAUUGAUGAAGCUCUUUGGAGUGUAAAAAUCUUUUAUAGGGGAGGAAGUUUAUUGACGUUACCCUAUGAAUAAGGGGGUGCUAAGUCCG